rnacentral:rRNA from 1 species
AGCGAACGCUGGCGGCAGGCCUAACACAUGCAAGUCGAACGAACCUUUCGGGGUUAGUGGCGGACGGGUGAGUAACACGUGGGAACGUGCCUUUAGGUUCGGAAUAACUCAGGGAAACUUGUGCUAAUACCGAAUGUGCCCUUCGGGGGAAAGAUUAAUCGCCUUUAGAGCGGCCCGCGUCUGAUUAGCUAGUUGGUUGAGGUAAUGGCUCACCAAGGCGACGAUCAGUAGCUGGUCUGAGAGGAUGAUCAGCCACAUUGGGACUGAGACACGGCCCAAACUCCUACGGGAGGCAGCAGUGGGGAAUCUUGCGCAAUGAGCGAAAGCCUGACGCAGCCAUGCCGCGUGAAUGAUGAAGGUCUUAGGAUUGUAAAAUUCUUUAACCGGGGACGAUAAUGACGGUACCCGGAGAAGAAGCCCCGGCUAACUUCGUG